GAGAUCGGGAUAACACCUGGAAACAGAUGCUAAUACCGGAUAACAACAGAUGAUGCCUAUCAACUGUUUAAAAGAUGGUUCUGCUAUCACUCUUGGAUGGGCCUGCGGUGCAUUAGCUAGUUGGUAGGGUAACGGCCUACCAAGGCGAUGAUGCAUAGCCGAGUUGAGAGACUGAUCGGCCACAUUGGGACUGAGACACGGCCCAAACUCCUACGGGAGGCAGCAGGC
rnacentral:rRNA from 1 species